rnacentral:rRNA from 2 species
GGUCAAGCUAAUAAGG